UUAAGGUUGGUUAGGGGUUAGGGGUAAUUUAAGGCUGGUUAGGGGGUUAGGGGUCAUUUAAGGCUGGUUAGGGGGUUAGGGAUCAUUUAAGGUUGGUUAGGGGUCAUUUAAGGCUGGUUAGGGGUCAUUUAAGGCUGGUUAGGGGGUUAGUGUAACUUACUUAGGGUUCGGUUACUCAGCUAGAAUUAGGGCUGUAUUCAAUCUGGAUGGCUGAAACAUUACAGGCCGUGUGAUAGAAAUGUAAAGGUCAUUUCCCAUUGGAGAGCUGACAUAUGCAGCGCUGACCGUGAAUCUCUGCUAAUACAGGAACGUUGCCUUUACAUUUCUAUCAGCUGGUUGAACAUCAGCCAUACGGAUUGAAUAGAGCCCUUAGAGUCGGGAGGACCUUUUGGGUGGGUUAUUACUAGAGCUCAGAGUUUAUCCCGGUUUAGGGUCAGGGCUCUAAACGUUCUACAGAACUGUUACAGACUUCUAAACUACCGGUACUGUCGACUCAGCAGAGAAAUGAAGAGCUCUUCUGUCACAAAGUAGAUGUUAAUAUUGGAGAUGAUAUUUGAUCAUGUUUUAUAACCUGUAGCAGUAGAGAUGGGGAUUUCCUGUUAAAGGUCAACUUUGGACACGAAAAAUAGUCCAAAUCCGCAUCUUUCCCAAUUUUUCAAACGUAAAUGGGGUGUGCCUUUGGUGUUACAUCAGGGUCAUUCUAGUCACAUGACCAACGCGCAGUUGAAGUAGGAAGUUUACAUACACCUCAGCCAAACACAUUUACACUCAGUUUUUCACAAUUCCUGACAUUUUAAUCCUAAUAAAAAUUCCCUGUCUUAGGUCAGUUAGGAUCACCACUUUAUUUUAAGAAUGUGAAAUGUCAGAAUAAUAGUAGAGAGAAUGAUUUAUUUCAGCUUUUAUUUCUUUCAUUACAUUCCCCGUGGGUCAGAAGUUUACAUACACUCAAUUAGUAUUUGGUAGCAUUGCCUUUAAAUUGUUUACCUUGGGUCAAACGUUUCGGGUAGCCUUCCACAAGCUUCCCACAAUAAGUUGGGUGAAUUUUGGCCCAUUCCUCCUGACAGAGCUGGUGUAACUGAGUCAGGUUUGUAGGCCUCCUUGCACGCACACACUUUUUCAGUUAUGCCCACAGAUUUUCUAUAGGAUUGAGGUCAGGGCUUUGUGAUGGACACUCCAAUACCUUGACUUUGUUGUCAUUAAGGCAUUUUGCAACAACUUUGGAAGUAUGCUUGGGGUCAUUGUCCAUUUGGAAGACCCAUUUGAGACCAAGCUUUAACUUCCUGACUGAUGUCUUGAGAUGUUGCUUCAAUAUAUCCACAUAAUUUUCCAGCCUCGUGAUGCCAUCUAUUUUGUGAAGUGCACCAGUCCCUCCUGCAGCAAAGCACCCCCCACAACAUGAUGCUGCCACCCCCGUGCUUCACGGUUGGGAUGGUGUUCUUCGGCUUGCAAGCCUCCCCCUUUUUCCACCAAACAUAACGAUGGUCAUUAUGGCCAAACAGUUCUAUUUUUGUUUCAUCAGACCAGAGGACAUUUCUCCAAAAAGUACGAUCUUUGUCCCCAUGUGCAGUUGCAAACCGUUGUCUGGCUUUUUUAAUGGCGGUUUUGGAGCAGUGGCUUCUUCCUUGCUGAGCGGCCUUUCAGGUUAUGUCGAAAUAGUACUCGUUUUACUGUGGAUAUAGAUACUUUUGUACCUGUUUCCUCCAGCAUCUUCACAAGGUCCUUUGCUGUUGUUCUGGGAUUGAUUUGCACUUUUCACACCAAAGUACGUACAUCUCUAGGAGACAGAACGCGUCUCCUUCCUGAGCGGUAUGACGGCUGCGUGGUCCCAUGGUGUUUAUACUUGCGUACUAUUGUUUGUACAGAUGAACGUGGUACCUUCAGGCGUUUGGAAAUUGCUCCCAAGGAUGAACCAGACUUGUGGAGGUCUAGAAUUUUUUUUCUGAGGUCUUGGCUGAUUUCUUUUGAUUUUCCCAUGAUGUCAAGCAAAGAGACACUGAGUUUGAAGGUAGGCCUUGAAAUACAUCCACAGGUACACCUCCAAUUGACUCAAAUGAUGUCAAUUAGCCUAUCAGAAGCUUCUAAAGCCAUGACAUCAUUUUCUGGAAUUUUCCAAGCUGUUUAAAGGCACAGUCAACUUAGUGUAUGUAAACUUCUGACCCACUGGAAUUGUGAUACAGGGAAUUAUAAGUGAAAUAAUCUCUC
rnacentral:lncRNA from 1 species